rnacentral:lncRNA from 1 species
ACCGUUAGGGGUCAGAAGUGCUGAUCAAUUUUGUUUAAACUGGCCGUCGGGAAGAGAUUACCACUACAAAGGGAACGAAAACACUAGCAAAAUAGUAGAAAUAGUUAGAAGAGUAAACGCACAGCGAUUUCUGUCUAUUUCCCACAAUUGGACAGAAAUUUGACUUCCACAAUCACCAUGAUAGAUUACCCGUGAUUAAUUAAGACAAUAACCGGAAAUCCACGCGAAGAACAAGUUAAUUCGGAUCAAAAUUGAAAAAUCCCCAAAAACUGAAAUUAGGGUUCUUACCAAUAGUGCAAUCAUACAAACAAAAAUGGCUAAGUCACCACAUCAUCAAAUGUUUCUUAAAUAAAAAGAUUACCCAAGAACUUGACCCCAAAAUAAAAGAUAACAGUGCUAGGGACAAUUCCUAAAAAUGAGUUCUUGUUCAAAUUCAAGCAAGAGAUUGGAGUUAAUUCGAACUAAAAUCAAAUUUCUGAAGAACAAGUCAAUUCGGAUCAAAAUUGAAAAAUCCCCAAAAACUGAAAUUAGGGUUCUUACCUUGGGUGUAGCGGAAUUUAAGUGAAACUGAACCCACAAGCCUAAGAUUUUGAUGAAAUAUGAAGAUUGAAGCCAAGUUUUGCAAGUGAUUUCAAAAGGUUUGAUGAAAAAAAUGAAAAUUUUGCGGUGAAAAUGGGGGGAGGGGCGGCGGGUUUAAGAGCAAAGAGGGAGAGAAAUUGUGAAGUGGGCUGACAGAUUCUUUUUUCCAUUUAUUUAUCUUUUAUUUUUUUUUAUGACUGACCUCGUGGCUGCUGCCAAGGUGCGUGGCCGCGGCUAUCUUAAAAGAUUUUUUAUUUUUUUUGUUAAAGUUAACCUUCCACUUAAAUCCUUAAAAAUCAAAUGAAUAAAAAAUUAAAGAAGGCGAAGCCCUCUUAUCCAUUCAAUUAGGGGACUGAAAUGCAAUUUUCCCCAUAAAUGCACCAAACCUAGUUAAAGCUCCCUCCUUGUGCCACCUCUUUCCUUCCCAUGUAUUGACAAGUUUUCGGGAAGAUUGUGUCACCUGGUGGCGCUGAUUUUCACGCGGCGGCGCUAGGGUUUGAGAAUAUUCACGAUUUUGAGUUGGGAUUCAAUUGUCAGUGAUCUAAUCUUUCAAUUACUGCUGUAAUCGAUCAUAGGUAAUCUACCCAUCAUGUAUCUGAUUGGGGCUGUUUAUGGUUAAUUUUUGUGGUGGUAGUUGCAAUUUUGCGUUUGCUGCUACGCGUUUGCACUGAUUUAUUAAACAUUUCAUCAAUGUUCUUGGAGCUUUGGAUACUUCGAUUAAGAUUUAUGGGGGUUGAGUUGUUUUUGGUGCUUGAAUCAAAGCAAUUCUUUGCAUUUCUUGGCGAAUAAAAGCAAGUCGCGGCGGUGGGAGCAGCGGGGACAGUCGGAGCAGCGGUGGCAAACUGCUUUUAACCCUAUAAAAUUUGAACCCUUCUCGAUUCAAAUCGUUGAAUAAAUCGUAAAUUUAUAUAAAAAAACAUAAGAUUUACGAUAAUGAUGUAAUACACCAAUAAAAUAUGCACUGAAAGUUUACAUUGGGACAAAAUACACACGGAUAUAAUAAUAAUAAUAAUAAUAAUAAUAAUAAUAAUAAUAAUAAUAAUAAUAAUAAUAAUAAUAAUAAUAAUAAUAAUAAUAAUAAUAAUAAUAAUAAUAAUAAUAAUAAUAAUAAUAAUAAUAAUAAUAAUAAUAAUAAUAAUAAUAAUAAUAAUAAUAAUAAUAAUAAUAAUAAUAAUAAUAAUAAUAAUAAUAAUAAUAAUAAUAAUAAUAAUAAUAAUAAUAAUAAUAAUAAUAAUAAUAAUAAUAAAUUACAAACACCCCCUGAGAUAUGGUCAAAUUACAAAAAUCCCCCUCUUGUUUGAAUAAUUACAUCUACCCCCCUCAACUAUGAUUUUUUCUUAGACCUCCACCUUUAUGGUGCCAAAUUCAACAUAGUCAUCUAGAUUCCGUGAAAUGUGCUCUAGUUUGUACUCUUUUUGUGUAAAAAAUACAGUUUUCGAUGCACCACAAACUGAUAUAUACAAGCUAAAUAUCACAUAUUAUGAUCAUCUUGCUUCAUAAUAUAGUGUUUGAAUGGGAUAAAACGGGUACAAAAGUGAUAAUAUUCCAUAUAAUCUCGAAGAUUCCACUAAAUUUGAUGAGUUGAGGGGGUGGUUGUAAUUAUCCAAACAAGAGGGGUGUUUUUGUAAUUUGACCAUACCUCAGGGGGGUGUUUGUAAUUUACCCUAAUAAUAAUAAUAAUAGUAAUAGUAAUAGUAAUAGUAGUAGUAGUAGUAGUAGUAGUAGUAGUAGUAGUAGUAGUAGUAGUAGUAGUAGUAGUAGUAAUAGUAAUAGUAAUAGUAAUAGUAAUAGUAAUAGUAAUAGUAAUAGUAAUAGUAAUAGUAAUAAUAAUAGUAAUAAUAAUAAUACAAAAGAAUUAGUUUCUAGCAACAAUUAUAUUUAUAUUCACAACAAAAUUAUAUUCGCAAGAGUUUUAUUUUUUUGCGAAUAGUAUAUUACCUGUGUAGAAAAUUUCAUCGCAACGCCACAAAGGGAGUGAUAAAAAAAUACAUUCUUCUUGCAAAUAUAAUAAAAUUGUUGCGUGGUGCACCGGUGCUAAUGGUAAAUCGAAAUAUUGAUGAGUUCAUGUAUGUAAAUUAAUCCAUAAUAUAUUGAUUUGCUUAGAAAAGAUUGCAAUAUCAUAUUUAUUUUAAAUAAUUCUAUUUUUUCUUGAAUGAAUAUUUAUAUUCGUCCGAGUUUGUGCAUUUUUAGGGUCGUUUAUCGAGUUGAUUUGGUGAUUACUCACCGAUGAUAUUGUAACAACAAAUUCUUAUCUGCGAUAUAAACAAACAAGAAAAAUUGAACAAAGAUGAUUUUAUUGAAUUAAAAUAAAUAAAUUGCGGGUUACAAUCUCUAUUUUAAUCCUCUGAUUCUUCUCUCUAGAACAAUAUAUAGUUGACUUGAAUUUUCGGAGUCGGGUCGUUGACUUGAUCUUCUCCGGAUUUGAUUUUGGAUUUGAAUAACGUUUUCCAAGGGUCUUGCGACUUGAAUCUCGGAUCGAACGUUGAACUUUGACUAAAUUUGACUUGAAGAUCUUGAAGUUCUUGAUGGAUUUGGCCCUUCAAUCUUCCAAUGAUCUUGACUUGAAUUUGAUUAACGUUAAUCCGAAGGUUUGGCACCGUUUCGGAUCGAACGCUGGAUUUGAUGAAAAAUGCCUUGAAUUUGCUCAAGAACACCUCGAAUUUGACGAAGAACACUUUGAAUGUAGAGAGAGAAUCUUACCUCCUACGAAUUCUUCUUCCUUGCUUCUGAAUUGUAGAGAGAAUUUCGCUCCUACGAUUUCUGCUCCUUCAGUUGUGUUUGAAUUGUGAAGGGAGGGUCCCUAUUUAUAGUGGCAGAACAAGAGUUCUUGAUGGGCCUUACUGAUGAUGUGGCACGAUUUGAUUGGCUCGAUUUAAAUUGAUAUUUAUCUCUUGUAACUUGGAAGAAAAAAAAUAAUCUGAUUGGCCAAUAAUUAAUUGAUAUUUAUUUCUUAUAACUUGUGAAAGAAGAAAUAAUUCUAUUGGUCAAUAUAUAUUUAAAAUCAAUUAUCUAUUUAAAUUAAGAAUUAAUUAAAAUUCUUAAUAUUAAAAUAGAAAACAUAUAAUUGAUAUUUAAUAUAUAUAAUAUAUAUAUGAUUUUUACGCAUUGAUAUAUAUAUAUAUAAAUGACUUUGAAUGCUUAAUUACAUAUUUGCCACUUGAAUAAAUUCACUCGGCUCUAUGAAAAUUAGCAAUUUAAUUGCUUGAAAAUUUGUUCGUCUACAGAUAUAUUUGGGAAUUAGAAUUUUCACGGCGAAGGAAAUAUUCUGGUAGUGUAUUUAUAUUUGUCGCUCUUAAGUGAUAAUAAAAAUAAAAUUCCUAAAAUAUUAAAAAAUGUUUUGAAAAUAUACAAAAACUAUUACGCUGAUUGGGUUUGAGUUUUAGUUUUAUUUCAAAUUUUGUUUAAUAGUUUUUUAACUUUUUUAUAUUUUCCAAACAUAGUUUAAUAGAUACACGGUGCAUCUUCUGGUCAAAUUAUAUUAAUUUGGUGAGUGAAAUAUCAAUUGAAAGUCGUUGGAACCAUUAACUUUUCUGCACUCGCGUCUCCUCCGAGCGGCGAUUAGACAUCAAUUGAAGUGGUUGAAAUUAUUAAUUGCCUAAUGUAUUACUUGCGUUCCCACAAGAGAAAACAUGAAGAGGAGAGAAAGACGAAGAGAAGACGAGGAAGACGAAGUGGAUUACUUGCGACCCGACCGCCGAGUCCAUUGCUUCUAGUAGCACUCCGGUAAAUUGUGUUCUGCUUUUCUCUGUUUUUUCGAAAUAAUGUUGGUCUUAGUGUCAUAUACUUUGGAGGUGCGAUAUACUUUCGUAAAUUUCUACUAUUCGCUUAGCCACUUUUUUUGCAGCUUUUUCAUUUGUUAGAAAGCUGUUUAGAGGUUGUAAUAGCAAGGAAACAUCCUUUUUUGUGUGGCUCUGCUUUUCUCUGUUUUUUCGAAAUUAUGUUGGUCUUAGUGUCAUAUACUUUGGAGGUGCGAUAUACUUUCUUAAGCAGAAAUCGAAGCGACAAAAAGAGGUGAAAUCGUAAAUUUCUACUAUAAGCCGCUAGUUCUAGUUUUUGGGUCCAUGAACACGAGUCUUCAAUGGUUUAGUACCCUCAGCGAAGUUUAGCCACUUUUUUUGCAGUUUUUUCGUUUGUUAGAAAGCUGUUUAGAGGUUGUAAUAGGAAGGAAACAUCCUUUUUGUGUGGCUAUCUUAGCUGAGAGGUUAACUGUGGGUGCUGGACUUUGAAGAUUCUUGUAAGUGGCCCUGUUUUUAAUGUUUUUAGCUUCUGAACUACUAGCUAGGGUUGAAGCUUGUCCUGUGGAUCUUUGUAGUGUCUUUGUUAAGGUUGUUUUACGGUUGCUGUUGGCAGUUUCACAGAAUGUGCUUUGGCCGUGGGAGCCAUUUGUUUUGCUCUGCCAUGACGACCAAUUUUUAUUUUGCCGAGCACUAGUUUUGCAGGUUUCUCUCCUGACCCUGUCAGGAUCGAUUACUUGGUUCUAAAUUUAUAUGUGACAUAAUCUUGCUUCUUGUUCCUUAUCUUAUUCAUAAGUUUGAUUUUGUCUUGUUUAUUUAUCGUAGAUGCCAGCCCAUUGGAAUAUUCCCGAUGUGUCAACACUCUCCUAACUAUGCCACAAAAUGGUAGAAGACUCCGGUUUACAAGAAAACCUUCGUCAUCUACGUUGGGAAGAGAUCAGUAAGUCUUUCCAUGACAAAGGAAGUGUAUUUUCACCACAACAAUGUAAAGACAAGUUUGACAGAUGAGAAGCACGUGGCUGACAUUUUACAAGAAGAGGGCCAAAGUUGGUCGUGAGUCUUAUGGUUUGGAGAUUGACGACAACACCGGGAUGCUAAUUGGUACCGUGCCAGACAUGUCAGCCCACCUCCAUGUAAUUUAGGAUGCUGAUUUUGUGUGUUCUUUUAUUGCUGAAUAUAUAAAUUUCUUACUGAUUUUGUUUCAUUUUUUUUUUCAGGAGGCUGGUAAAAGGGCAUUUAAAUGCUUCUUGGCAGAUCCGGACCUCUUCGACAAGUGCACGGACAUAUUCAUCAAGCACACUUCCAGAGCAGCUUUAACCUAUUCGAAGCAGAUAACCGGUAGCAGCAAGCGGGGUGCCGAUGAAAUGCAAACUUCCACUUUGCGGAAUCAGAGACAGAAGACUGACGACGUGGCGAAGGUUCCUUCUUUUACGGAAUGCUAUCAUAUAUUAAAGGCCAUACCAGGGUGCCGACGUCGUGGCGAAGCUUGUGGUACUGCUAAUAAAUGCCGACUCUA